GCGGUAAUACGUAGGGUGCAAGCGUUAAUCGGAAUUACUGGGCGUAAAGCGUGCGCAGGCGGUUAUAUAAGACAGAUGUGAAAUCCCCGGGCUCAACCUGGGAACUGCAUUUGUGACUGUAUAGCUAGAGUACGGCAGAGGGGGAUGGAAUUCCGCGUGUAGCAGUGAAAUGCGUAGAUAUGCGGAGGAACACCGAUGGCGAAGGCAAUCCCCUGGGCCUGUACUGACGCUCAUGCACGAAAGCGUGGGGAGCAAACAGGAUUAGAUACCCUGGUAGUCCACGCCCUAAACGAUGUCAACUGGUUGUUGGGUCUUCACUGACUCAGUAACGAAGCUAACGCGUGAAGUG
rnacentral:rRNA from 1 species